rnacentral:rRNA from 1 species
GACGAACGCUGGCGGCGUGCCUAAUACAUGCAAGUCGAGCGGAUGUUUUCUGCUUCUUCCUCCGUUCAAACUUAGCGGCGAACGUAAGAGUUACAAGUAUACCACCUGCCUCAUAGUCUGGGACAAAUAUUGGAACCGAUACCUCAUACCUGAUAACAGCGUUAACUGCAGGGCUGCUGUUUAAAAGUUGUUUUUGGUAACUCUAUGAGAUGACCUUGCGGUGGAUUAGCUAGUUGGUGGGGUAAAGGCCUACCAAGGCGACGAUGCGUAGCUGAUCUGAGAGGAUGAUCGGCCACACUGGAACUGAGACACGGUCCAGACUCCUACGGGAGGCAGCAGUAGGGAAUCUUCCGCAAUGGGCGAAAGCCUGACGGAGCAACGCCGCGUGAGUGAAGAAGGUCUUCGGUUCGUAAAGCUCUGUUAUUAGGGAAGAAGGAUUGUGUAGUAAUAACACGCAGUAGUGACGGUACCUAACCAGAAAGCCACGGCUAACUACGUG